CAUAGGAUUAACUCUGGACGGACCUCCAAAUUCCUGUACCUAGACCACCUACAAACUUACCCUAACAAGUAACAACCCACCUGCAAAAUUGUAAGGUACCAACAACCACAAAUUGUCGGAAAUUCGAAAGUGGUUGCCGGCGGCGAUCCGCAAAAGGACUCGACACAGCAAAAGCUUAAUUACAGCAAUAAAGACAAGCUGAUUUGGCCGCAAAGCUGAAAAUGAGUGAGUGUAGAAUUCGACUGAUGAUCUGAAAUACAAUUUUGAUUAUUUAGGUCAAAAUUUGAUUGAAUUCUGUAUGUUGGGUUUUGCAUUUGGUAAUUUUGUUGGCAAAAAUGUCAGUAGUUUCGGUGGUUGAUAUGGGUUGUGAUGAAGAUGAUAGGGAUUCAAUGGUGGUCUAUGACGAUCCCUCGGAUGAGAGGUGUUUGUCUUUGGAUGAUACAAGUAGUGCCGAUGAUUCAGCUAACGAGACUGGGCUUACAUUAGAAGUCACAAAUGAUAUUGUUCCUUAUAUAGGUCAGAGGUUUAGUUCACAUGAUUCUGCUUAUGAAUUCUAUAGUGAUUUUGCAAAGAGAUGUGGAUUUUCAAUUAGGCGGCAUCGAACCGAAGGGAAGGAUGGUGUUGGAAAAGGGUUAACUAGGCGUUACUUCGUUUGCCAUCGUGCUGGGAAUACACCGGUUAAGGUUGCGAAUGAGAAUAAGCCCCAAAGGAACAGGAAAUCUUCACGUUGUGGUUGUCAAGCGUACUUGAGAAUUAGCAAGACAACUGAAUUAGGUCUUUCUGAAUGGCGUGUCACUGGUUUUGUUGAUCAUCAUAACCAUGAUUUGUUGGAACCCAAUCAGGUCCGUUUCUUGCCUGCUUACCGAAAUAUAUCGGAUACUGAUAAAACCCGCAUCUUUAUGUAUGCAAAGACUGGAAUUUCUGUACAGCAGAUGAUGAGGCUGUUGGAGCUAGAGAAAUCUGUACAACCUGGAUACCUUCCUUUUACAGAGAAGGAUGUUCGGAACUUAAUCCAGUCGUUUAGGAAAAUGGAUCCGGAAGAGGACACUAUAGACCUCUUAAAAAUGUGCACUAACAUUAGGGACAAGGAUUCUAACUUUAGAUUUGACUACACUUUGGAUUCAAACAACAAUUUAGAGAACAUUUCGUGGUCCUAUGCUUCAUCAGUUCAAGCAUAUCAGAUGUUUGGUGAUGCGGUGGUGUUCGAUACUACACAUCGCUUGACUUCUUUUGACAUGCCUCUUGGAAUUUGGGUUGGAAUAAAUAAUUAUGGAAUGCCUUGUUUCUUUGCCUGUGUACUUAUGCGUCAGGAAAGUUUGAGCUCAUUAUCAUGGGCUUUAAAGGUAUUUGUAAACUUUAUGAAUGGUAAGGCUCCGCAGACAAUAUUGACGGAUCAAAAUAUGUUCCUCAAAGAGGCGGUGACAGUGGAGAUGCCAACCACUAAACAUGUGUUGUGCAUAUGGCUGGUUGUAGCAAAGUUUCCAUCCUGGUUUAAUGCUGUCCUGGGAGAACGGUACAAUGAGUGGAAGGCAGAGUUCUAUCGACUUUAUAACUUAGAGUCCGUUGACGAGUUUGAGUUGAGUUGGAGGGAUAUGAUUAGUUCUUUUGGUUUACACACUAACAGGCAUAUUGCCAAUUUGUUUGCCUUAAGGUCACUCUGGGCAUUAUCGUACUUGAAAAGCCAUUUCAUGGCUGGUUUGACAACUACCAGCCAAUCAAAGUCAAUCAAUGCUUUUAUACAACGUUUUCUUAGUGCACAAACACGGCUUGCUCAUUUUGUGGAACAAGUUGCUGUAGCUGUUGAUUUUAAAGAUCAGGCUGGAGAGCAACAAACAAUGCAACAGAAUUUACAAAACAUUAGCCUGAAAACUGGAGCACCAAUGGAAACCCAUGCUGCAUCAGUCCUCACGCCCUUUGCAUUCUCCAAGCUACAGGAGCAACUUGUUCUGGCUGCCCACUAUGCUUCUUUCCAGAUGGAAGAUGGUUUUCUUGUGCGACACCACACCAAACUCCAGGGAGGCCAGAAAGUGUACUGGGACCCACAAGAAGGCAUCGUUAGUUGCAGCUGCGACCAGUUUGAGUUCUCAGGUAUCAUAUGUCGGCAUGCCCUCCGAGUUCUUUCAACUGGAAAUUGCUUUCAGAUCCCUGAAAGAUAUCUUCCUCUGAGAUGGCGGCGGGUCAAUUCAUCUGCCUCGAAGCCCCAGGGCACUCUUAAUGACCAUGGAGAAAAAGUUCAACGGUUGCAGAGCAUGGUAUCUACACUGGUUUCAGAGUCCUCAAAAUCAAAGGAACGCUUAGAUUUAGCAACUGAGCAAGUAUCUAUCCUUUUGUUAAGGAUCAGGGAGCAGUCGGUUUCGACCACGUUAGUUUCAAGAGAUGCCACCAUGCAUAGGAAUUUUAGUUAAACCUCUACAGUUGGUGUCAUACUUUUCCCUUAUUGAUUGAACCCAAUAAGGAAUCCAUUGGUUAAAAGGCAAGAACUAUCGCUUGGAGGGUCUGAUCUGAAGUCAAACUUUUGGGGUUUUUAACUCGGGUUUGGUGAACAGUAGAUUCUAGGAUCCUUCAGCUUGGUUGCAGGUCAUUUUUUAUUAUUGUAUCUUAUUUGUUUUCCAGUGAAGUCGGAAAAGGAGGCGGUGUUGGUCGACCAUUUUCUCGUUGAAGCUCUUCAAAACCUUCGUCAUCGUUUAACCAAAAGAGGAAGAGGAUGAGUUGGAGAUGGAAAUUGUUGAGGAGCGGGCGGCGGAAGGCGAGGGAGCAGGAGAAGCUUGAAGAGAGUGGAUGAACUCGUAUAUUGAUUGCUUCAAAGGGAUUAUCUGGUAAUUACCAAGUCGCGUGCCGAGAAUGAUGUUGUUGGUGUGACUGUCACUCUUGGGACUUUGACUACUUGAGGGAGAUUGGGGUUUGAAAAAAUGGCAGAGGGAACAGACGAGCUUAAACAACACUCCCAACAAAAUGAUGUCAGACCAAAACAGAAACUGGGAUUACCUCUGAUUCUCCAAAACUUUUGCUGGAAUGUGUUUUAAAUCAAAGAACGGGCGGUUGUAUAGUGGUUAUUUAACCUAUCUUUUAAGUUUUAAUUUAUUGAGCUUGUGAUUUUGGAGAGAAUAUAUAUAUAUAUAUAUAUAUAUAUAUGUAUAUAUAUAUAUAUAUGAUGUAAAUAGAGGUAAAAUUUAAAGAUCGAAAGAAUACAUAAAUUAAAUAGUGUAUUAAUGUUGAGUGUUAAUCGGGAAGAUGGAGUGGAAGAUGUUGAAUGAAUAGAUGGUGAAUUUUUGCUGGGAUUACCUCUGAUUCUCCAAA